UUAUAUAAAUAAAAUUUCUGCAAUUGCCUAUCCACAUAUCUCAUAGUACUGCAGAUGAACACAUCAAGCUUUAAACGACCAUCAAGAAAACUUAAAAUAAAAGAUGUUGGUUGGAUCGAGUAGUCGUUUGGUAGUCGGUGGGAAAGCCUUGGAAAAGGUCUACUGGAGGACGAGCACCAAGGACUCCAUGAAAAUGAUCAAAACUAGAAAAACUGUUCAAUGCGGCGGAGGACCUACUUCGCAACCAUCGGCUCAGACCACCGGCGGACCAACUAACUUCCGAAAAUCAUCAACACUCUAGUCGUCUAAAGACUGAUUUAUAUUUUAUUUAUUAAGUCAAAUUUGUUCAAUAUUCAUAACCAUGUGAACGAUUUUUUAUGUGGAAUAAAAUUAUUUCUAAAUUAAUA